GGUUGCCUACGGGGGGCAGCGGUGGGGAAUAUUGGGCAAUGGGCGCAAGCCUGACCCAGCAACGCCGCGUGAAGGAAGAAGGCGUUCGGGUUGUAAAGUUCUUUUGUCAGGGACGAAGCAAGUGACGGUACCUGACGAAUAAGCCACGGCUAACUACGUGCCAGCAGCCGCGGUAAUACGUAGGUGGCAAGCGUUAUCCGGAUUUAUUGGGUGUAAAGGGCGUGUAGGCGGGAAUGCAAGUCAGAUGUGAAAACUAUGGG
rnacentral:rRNA from 1 species